AAUGCACCAAUUUGUAAGUCGCUCUGGAUAAGAGCGUCUGUUAAAUUACGUAAA
rfam:Salmo salar isolate Sally breed double haploid chromosome ssa14, whole genome shotgun sequence.